rnacentral:rRNA from 1 species
UACGUAGGAGGCGAGCGUUGUCCGGAUUUACUGGGCGUAAAGGGCGCGCAGGCGGCCUUGCAAGUAGCGUGUGAAAUCCACCUGCUCAACGGGUGGGGUGCAUGGUAGACUGCAGGGCUAGAGGACGGUAGAGGGGGGUGGAAUUGCUGGUGUAGCGGUGAAAUGCGUAGAGAUCAGCAGGAACACCCGUGGCGAAGGCGGCCCCCUGGGCCGUACCUGACGCUGAGGCGCGAAGGCUAGGGGAGCAAACGGG